GUUUAUUACCUUUUUACUAUAGUUCUGUAUUUGUGUUAUGUAUUUUUAUAUAUGUGUUUUACAUUUCUGUUUGAAUGCAAUAAUUGUCUGACAUCUCUUUAAGUACCAGGACUUUGACACAACCAACCACACACCGGUUACUACACAACAGUACUUCUGACUGAUAUGUGAUUACCGGAAAUAUUGUAGGAAACCAUUCUGAAUGUUUUGUUUUAUUAAUUCUACCUGUUUAAGAGUUAAGUCACACUUUAUGAACCCUUUUUUGUUAAAUAAAGUUUACCCUUUUAUAUUCA